UAUUUUAGUCUUGUUAGAGGAACCUGUUUUAUAAUCGAUAAACCACGUAUAUUUCACUUAUUUUAAAUAACUUGUAUACCGUCAUUAUUAGAUAACUUUCAAAAAAAUUAGUUAUUAAAAUUAAAUUAAAUUAAAUAUAUUAGAUCAAGGUGCAGUUAAUAAAUAAGAAAAAAUGGGUUACAAUAAAAUUUAUUUAAAACGAAUUAUAUAAAUGUAAAAAUAUAUGAAGGAGGAUUUAAUUGUAAUUUUUUUAUAAAAUAAUAAUAUGAUAACAGCUCUAAAAUAU
rnacentral:rRNA from 1 species